AACGAACGCUGGCGGCAUGCCUAACACAUGCAAGUCGAACGAGACCUUCGGGUCUAGUGGCGCACGGGUGCGUAACGCGUGGGAACCUGCCCUUAGGUUCUGAAUAACUCCCCGAAAGGGGUUCUAAUACCGGAUAAUGUCUUCGGACCAAAGAUUUAUCGCCUUUGGAUGUGCCCGCGUUGGAUUAGCUAGUUGGUAGGUUAAAAGCCUACCAAGGCGACGAUCCAUAGCUGGUCUGAGAGGAUGAUCAGCCACACUGGGACUGAGACACGGCCCAGACUCCUACGGGAGGCAGCAGUGGGGAAUAGUGGACAAUGGGCGAAAGCCUGAUCCAGCAAUGCCGCGUGAGUGAUGAAGGACUUAGGGUUGUAAAGCUCCUUUACCCGGGAUGAUAAUGACAGUACCGGGAGAAUAAGCUCCGGCUAACUCCGUG
rnacentral:rRNA from 1 species